GUCGCCGUCGCCACAGCCGAGGGCCAAUCGCAGCGCCCUCCGCCUCCCGAGGCCACACCCCGCCAAGUCGGCACCUUGUCCUUCCUGCUUCGCAGGCCUGGGGAGGCCGCCUGGAGCUCUCCGUCUGACAGCCGCCGCGCCGCCACCCCGGAGGCCAGCCCCGCUCAGCCUAUCGAGCUGGCCAGGCUCGGCAACGUGCUGGGUGGCACCGGCUCCCGUGGACAGUGCACGCAGGUGCACGUGGAGGUCACGGAUCGCAGGAGCAGUUCCACCCUCCACAAGGGAAUUUCAUUCAGAAGAAGGAUAGACUACUUAACGUAUUUGAAGAAAUUGAGAAGAAAUAUGCACUGGGGGAUAUUUGAACAUUGAAUUCAUGCGUCUUCAUUGAAAACUUUUUAUGGAAGCAUGUAACUUGUGUACCCAAAGGGUACAUAUCAUAAACAUACAACUUGAUAUUUUUCACAAAAAUGAACACAGCCUUGUAACUACCUUCCAGAGAAAGACAUGGAAGAUUCCAGAAUAUUCCCUCAUGGGAUGGCUUCAUCUACCCCCUUCCGAUCGCUACCCACAAGGGUAAUCCUUUUCCGUUUCUAACGUGUAGAUUCAUGUUGACCGUUUUGUAUUUUAUAUAAAUGGAGUCAUACAGUA